rnacentral:tRNA from 1 species
GGAAGAUUCUGUGGCUCACUGGCAGAGUAUCUGUUUUGCAAGCAGAAAAUCCUGGGUUUACUCCCCAGCAUUUCCA